rnacentral:tRNA from 1 species
UUCCCACACCAGGAAUCGAACCCGGGCCUCCUGGGUGAGAGCCAGGUAUCAUUUCCACUAGACCACGUGGGA